rnacentral:misc_RNA from 1 species
GUAAUUUUAGUACUUCGAGAGGUUGAAGUGGGUGGAUUAUAAGGUUAAGAGAUUAAGAUUAUUUUGGAUAAUAUGGUGAAAUUUUGUUUUUUUUAAAAAUAUAAAAAUUAGUUGGGCGUGGUGGUGUACGUUUGUAGUUUUAGUUAUUUGGGAAGUUGAGGUGGGAGGAUUGUUUGAGUUUAGGAGUUUAAGAUUAAUUUGGGUAAU